rnacentral:rRNA from 1 species
UACGAAGGGACCUAGCGUAGUUCGGAAUUACUGGGCUUAAAGAGCUCGUAGGUGGUUAAGAAAGUUGGUGGUGAAAUCCCAAGGCUCAACCUUGGAACUGCCACCAAAACUUUUUAACUAGAGUAUGAUAGAGGUAAGUGGAAUUUCUAGUGUAGAGGUGAAAUUCGUAGAUAUUAGAAAGAACACCGAUUGCGAAGGCAGCUUUCUGGAUCAUUACUGACACUGAGGAGCGAAAGCAUGGGUAGCGAAGAGG